rnacentral:rRNA from 1 species
GAGUUUGAUCGUGGCUCCAGAUUGAACGCUGGCGGCAUGCCUUACACAUGCAAGUCGAACGGCAGCACGGGAGCUUGCUCCUGGUGGCGAGUGGCGAACGGGUGAGUAAUGCAUCGGAACGUAUCCUGGAGUGGGGGAUAACGUAGCGAAAGUUACGCUAAUACCGCAUAUUCUGUGAGCAGGAAAGCGGGGGGACCUUCGGGCCUCGCGCUCUUGGAGCGGCCGAUGUCGGAUUAGCUAGUUGGUGAGGUAAAGGCUCACCAAGGCGACGAUCCGUAGCAGGUCUGAGAGGAUGAUCUGCCACACUGGAACUGAGACACGGUCCAGACUCCUACGGGAGGCAGCAGUGGGGAAUUUUGGACAAUGGGGGCAACCCUGAUCCAGCCAUGCCGCGUGAGUGAAGAAGGCCU